CCUACGGGUGGCAGCAGUGGGGGAUAUUGCACAAUGGGGGGAACCCUGAUGCAGCGACGCCGCGUGUGGGAAGACGGUCCUCUGGAUUGUAAACUACUGUCACCAGGGACGAAAAUGACGGUACCUGGGGAGGAAGCUCCGGCUAACUACUUGCCAGCAGCCGCGGUAAUACGUAGGGAGCGAGCGUUGUCCGGAAUUACUGGGUGUAAAGGGAGCUGAGGGGGGGAUUAAGGUUGGGUGUCAAAACUACCGGCUAAACUGGUAGUCGCACUCAAAACUGCAGCUCUUGAGUGAAGUAGAGGCAGGCGGAAUUCCUAGUGUAGCGGUGAAAUGCGUAGAUAUUAGGAGGAACACCAGUGGCGAAGGCGGCCUGCUGGGCUUUUACUGACGCUGAGGCUCGAAAGUGUGGGGAGCAAACAGGAUUAGAUACCCUUGUAGUC
rnacentral:rRNA from 1 species